CAGCUCAGCCCCAGUUGGCCUGCUGGGCUCAGCACGCCGCAAGGGCUCACAUGGGGAACAUGGUCAGGGCCCUCGUGGCCUUCAUCCCUGCUGACCGCUGCCAGAACUACGUGGUGGGCGACCUCCAAGAGAUGCCCCGGGACAAGAUGGUGGAUCUGAGCGGGAACCAGAUGCGCCGCUUCCCUGGCCACGUUUGCUCCUUCCGGGAGCUGGUCAAGCUCUACCUGAGCGACAACCACCUCACCAACCUGCCUCCAGAGCUGGGGCAGCUGCAGAAGCUGCAGAUCCUGGCCUUGGAUUUCAAUAACUUCAAGACUCUGCCCCAGGUGGUCUGUACCUUACAGCACCUCUGCAUCCUCUACCUGGGCAACAACAAACUCUGCGACCUCCCCUGGGAGCUGAGCCAGCUGCAGAACCUCCAGACCCUGUGGCUUGAGGCCAACUGCCUCACCCAGCUGCCAGAGGUGGUCUGUGAGCUGAGGCUCCUCCGGACACUGCACGUGGGCUCCAACGCUCUGUGCGUGCUGCCAGGCCAGCUCCAGCGCCUCCAGGAGCUACGGACCAUCUGGCUCUCCAGCAACCUGCUGACCGACUUCCCCCCGGUGCUGCUGCACAUGCCCUUCCUGGAGGUGAUUGAUGUGGACCGGAACAGGAUUCGGUACUUCCCCAGCCUGGCUCAUUUGUCAAGUCUGAAGCUGGUCAUCUAUGACCACAACCCCUGCAGAAACGCACCCAAGGUGGCCAAAGGUGUGCGCCGCGUGGGAAGGUGGGCGGAGGAGACCCCAGAGCCUGACCCCAGGAAAGCCAGACGCUACGCACUCACGAUGGACGACAUCCCGGAGCCACCAGCAGCUGCCCCUGCUCCUUCACCGCCUCCUGCCAACUCCUGAGGGCGAUUAUAGGUUAAUGCCCAAGACCCAAAUCCAGCCUCUUCUGGAAGAUCUCUCACCGGGAGUGGAAGAUUCCUCUCAGCCACAGGGAGCUGAGAGAGGGCCAGGUGAAAUGCUACAAAUCACUUGGAGAAGGAAAAACUGGUCAACAGCCUGUCUCUCAAAGGAAUGUCGUGCUAUUGGCACCAUGACAAUCUGGAAUGAUCAUCACUUCUUUGGAAGCAAGUCUGCUUCUGCAAGCAGCUCUUUUGGAACCCUGGAGACCAGGAAGGGCUGGAGGGAUGCUGUGCUCUCCUCCGGUCCUCAGAAAUGCGGGUCAUGAGGCUGGGGAGCUCCUCAAACAGGCACUUCUAAAAAGCAGCUAACAAAUGGCAUUCGUCUUGGCAUCCCAAGCCUACUCCGGCCCCAGCAGGUUUCUUCAGUGCUGGCUGUUACACAGCCACACAGCCAGGCCACAGGGCAGAAGGGUAACACCUGAGGAGGAGCACUCUGGCUGGUCGAGCACCAUCUUCAUGGUCUUGUCAACUUAUGGAAACUUUUCUGCACCUCUUUAAAGAAAACUUUGGUGAGGACACCACCACUUUUCUCAUUUUCUAAGCUACUUUGGAGAACUCUUACACCCACCCAACUGCUGUCGGCUCUACACUACCACUUAAAGGUGCUCUGCCUGGGUGUCACACGCUGCCAUGCCAGUGCUUCCCAAAUCUGUGCCACAAGCUGCAAACACACUCGGUACGUACCAAAAUGAGACUAGUCCUUGUAACUCCAGGAGCUUGUCCUACAAGUUGGCCCUGGGAUCCACCCUCUAGAAUGAAGUCGUACCAAAUGAAACCCUUUUUGAUUGUAAACUGAUAAGGAUUUUGUUGCGUCACGUUUGUCAAGUAUUUUUCUUCCAGAAAUCUUUCAUCAUUCACUUUUACCAAAAAGAGGAAACCACUCAACAUGCCAAAAAUCUUAGGUAAGGACCAAGAAAAAGUUUAGAAAUGACUCAGUUAUUGCCAACUCACCUUUCCAUGUCGUUUAGUUUUUAAGAAAAGGAGUCAAGGCCACUGAAUAUACCCUGAAAACUACUGCAUCUUGGUACAAUCAGAGGGGCUAUUUUGACUUAAAUGUUACGUACAUGGUAGC